rnacentral:rRNA from 1 species
AUUGAACGCUGGCGGAAUGCUUUACACAUGCAAGUCGAACGGCAGCACGGACUUCGGUCUGGUGGCGAGUGGCGAACGGGUGAGUAAUAUAUCGGAACGUGCCCAGUCGUGGGGGAUAACGUAGUGAAAAUUACGCUAAUACCGCAUACGAUCUAAGGAUGAAAGCGGGGGAUCGCAAGACCUCGCGCGAUUGGAGCGGCCGAUAUCAGAUUAGGUAGUUGGUGAGGUAAAGGCUCACCAAGCCAACGAUCUGUAGCUGGUCUGAGAGGACGACCAGCCACACUGGAACUGAGACACGGUCCAGACUCCUACGGGAGGCAGCAGUGGGGAAUUUUGGACAAUGGACGCAAGUCUGAUCCAGCCAUUCCGCGUGCAGGACGAAGGCC